UAGGGAAUAUUGCGCAAUGGGGGAAACCCUGACGCAGCAACGCCGCGUGAGUGAGGAAGGUCUUCGGAUUGUAAAACUCUGUUCUUAGGGAAAAAUGUCUUUAUGGCUAAUAUCCAUAUUGAGUGAUGGUACCUAAGUAGAAAGCACCGGCUAACUUCGUGCCAGCAGCCGCGGUAAUACGAAGGGUGCAAGCGUUGUUCGGAAUCAUUGGGCGUAAAGCGAGCGCAGGCGGAUCAGUAAGUCAGGUGUGAAAUCUCGAGGCUCAACCUCGAAAUUGCGCCUGAAACUACUAGUCUAGAAUGUCGGAGGGGAUAGGGGAAUUUCACGUGUAGGGGUAAAAUCCGUAGAGAUGUGAAGGAACACCGGAGGCGAAGGCGCCUAUCUGGACGACUAUUGACGCUGAGGCUCGAAAGCGUGGGGAGCAAACAGG
rnacentral:rRNA from 1 species